GAGUGGCAAAAAGUUUCACUUUCACCUUUAUGUCAUCUUUAUAGCACAGUAAUAUUUCAAGUAGUUUCUUUUCACAAGUUUGGAGUGUCCAAACAAUAUCAUAUAAUAUCUCAUAUCACUUGUAUUUUAGUUACAACCAUCUUUCCAAAUAGGUUUACGUUUGUAAUACUUUGUGAAUGUAUAUUUAGAAAGACUUAGAAAUGUUAUAAUAUAUGAUCAGACUCAACUCUAAGACAACUUUUACAUUAGUAGCUUUUUGGUUACUGUUUUAUUGAUUUUUUGUUUUUUAUUUUUUCCCUCUCUUUUAAAUUUUAAUUACAUUUAUGCUUGCCUUUCAGAUUUCUGAAGUGGUUAAUAGUAUGAAAGACUUGAUUGAUUACAAUCGAGAAACAGGGACAGGACCUAUGGAGAGUUUGAACAAGUUCCCUCGAAGGACUAGUACGCCAUCUGGGGUUCAUAGUCAAGCACAACAAUCUGAAGAACAGCUACAACAACAGCAACAACAUCAUC